CAAUAGCGUAUAUUAAAGUUGUUGCAGUUAAAAAGCUCGUAGUUGGAUUUCUGGUGGGGGUCGCUGGUCCGCUGCGAAAGCGGCGUGUACCGAUGCGUACCUACCGCCAUCCUCGGGGGAACUGCGUGUGGGAUUAGUUUCUCGUGCGUAUGGACGCCCGUCAUUUACUGUGAAAAAAUUAGAGUGUUCAAAGCAGGCUUAGGCCGUUGAAUACAUUAGCAUGGAAUAAUAAGAUAGGACCUUGGCGGUCUAUUUUGUUGGUUUGCACGCCAAGGUAAUGAUUAAUAGGGAUAGUUGGGGGUAUUCGUAUUCAAUUGUCAGAGGUGAAAUUCUUAGAUUUAUGGAAGACGAACUACUGCGAAAGCAUUUACCAAGGAUGUUUNCAUUAA
rnacentral:rRNA from 1 species